CCUACGGGAGGCAGCAGUGAGGAAUAUUGGUCAAUGGCCGCAGGGCUGAACCAGCCAAGUCGCGUGAGGGAUGACGGUCCUAUGGAUUGUAAACCUCUUUUGUCAGGGAGCAAAGGGCGCCACGUGUGGCGCUUUGCGAGUACCUGAAGAAAAAGCAUCGGCUAACUCCGUGCCAGCAGCCGCGGUAAUACGUAGGGGGCAAGCGUUGUUCGGAAUGACUGGGCGUAAAGGGUGUGUAGGGGGUUUGAUAAGUUAGAUGUGUAAUACCCAGGGCUUAACUCGGGUGCUGCAUCUAAAACUGUUAGACUUGAGUACUGGAGAGGAUAGUGGAAUUCCUAGUGUAGCGGUGGAAUGCGUAGAUAUUAGGAGGAACAUCAGUGGCGAAGGCGACUAUCUGGACAGCAACUGACACUGAGGCACGAAAGCGUGGGGAGCAAACAGGAUUAGAUACCCGGGUAGUC
rnacentral:rRNA from 1 species